GGAGCUUAGUGGUUAGAGCACUCGCCUAACAAGCGAGAGGACCUGGGUUCGAUUCCCGGGUGAAACG